rnacentral:rRNA from 1 species
GUUUGAUCAUGGCUCAGGAUGAACGCUAGCUACAGGCUUAACACAUGCAAGUCGAGGGGCAUCAGGAAGAAAGCUUGCUUUCUUUGCUGGCGACCGGCGCACGGGUGAGUAACACGUAUCCAACCUGCCCUUUACUCGGGGAUAGCCUUUCGAAAGAAAGAUUAAUACCCGAUAGCAUAAUGAUUCCGCAUGGUUUCAUUAUUAAAGGAUUCCGGUAAAGGAUGGGGAUGCGUUCCAUUAGGUUGUUGGUGAGGUAACGGCUCACCAAGCCUUCGAUGGAUAGGGGUUCUGAGAGGAAGGCCCCCCACAUUGGAACUGAGACACGGUCCAAACUCCUACGGGAGGCAGCAGUGAGGAAUAUUGGUCAAUGGGCGUUAGCCUGAACCAGCCAAGUAGCGUGAAGGAUGAAGGCUCUAUGGGUCGUAAACUUCUUUUAUAUAAGAAUAAAGUGCAGUAUGUAUACUGUUUUGUAUGUAUUAUAUGAAUAAGGAUCGGCUAACUCCGUGCCAGCAGCCGCGGUAAUACGGAGGAUCCGAGCGUUAUCCGGAUUUAUUGGGUUUAAAGGGAGCGUAGGUGGACUGGUAAGUCAGUUGUGAAAGUUUGCGGCUCAACCGUAAAAUUGCAGUUGAUACUGUCAGUCUGAGUACAGUAG